GAAAGGAGUCCAAGUCCUGAGCGCGUUUUGAUUCGCCGCCCUGCCUCUGCGGGGAGGAGCAACUGGGAUACGAAGACAAAUGUUUGCGCUGGGAACGUCCAUCAAGCGUGCGGUGGGAACGCGGGUACCUGCCAAAGUUUGUCAUGCUGUUUACUGGAAACCGAAGGUCUGAAUGGGAGCCAGCAACCGCAACAGCUGAGAGGAGGCCCCAGAAGCCUCUCACAAAAGCAGAGGGAAGUUUGACGUGAUUGCAUCCCUAAAAUUAAACCCAGCACAAACAGAAUACCUGGCAGCAGCUCUGGGCACAACCCUGCAUUAACAUGCUCUUUGGUAUUAUGGAGGAGCAGUUGUCGGGAAACCAUCUCUCAUCAUCAGAGGAAGAAGAGAAGGACAGCGGUGAUGAGUGUUUAGUGUGCUCCCACCCUCUCUCCAAGCAGCAUGACGACAAAGCAGGAAGUUCAGCCUCCGCCCAGCCUCCUUAUGGACCUUUGGGAAUCUGAGUGGCUAGAAAAGGUCAUGAUUAAUAAUUUAAUGUUUAUUAGUUUAGCUAACGCCCUUGCUUCACUAACAGAGGGAGCCUCAAGUGCCUCAACUCUCUCUUUAGGACUCAUAGGAUCAGGCCAUGUUUUUUUUACGUGGGGUGUUUUUAAUAUCUACCAACUUCAGUCACAGUCUAUGCUGGGCUGUAAAUGUUCGUAGAACGCUACGUUUUGAAACAGGAAUCAUACAAAUUCAUUGGACCCUUUUGGCCUGUUCUGAACUUCUUUCCUGUUUUCCUGACCAUUCAACAAGGUAUCCUCAAUGCUUUCAUCCGUUUCCCUCUAGAAUAAAGUCCCUUUCAGUUUUUUCCCUCCCCUUUAUAUCGCACUCAACACAACUGGGAACUCCUAGAUCAAGUUUCACACCGAAGCAUCACAGGCUCAAAGCUACUGAUUCUUAAAGAGGAGGUGUUCGCGUUGACAGCAAU